rnacentral:rRNA from 1 species
UACGAAGGGGGCUAGCGUUGCUCGGAAUUACUGGGCGUAAAGGGCGCGUAGGCGGAUAGUUUAGUCAGAGGUGAAAGCCCAGGGCUCAACCUUGGAACUGCCUUUGAUACUGGCUAUCUUGAGUUCGGGAGAGGUGAGCGGAAUGCCGAGUGUAGAGGUGAAAUUCGUAGAUAUUCGGCGGAACACCAGUGGCGAAGGCGACUCACUGGCCCGGUACUGACGCUGAGGUGCGAAAGCGUGGGGAGCAAACAGG